UUUGCGGAAGAGUGAUGUCUCCGUAUACGCUCUAUAAGAGCAUCAAUGCGUUGGCAACCUCCGCCAACGCAGUUCGCCAUGGAGAUCAAAGAAACGAGCUUCGCACCACUUCGCUCUAGCGAACACACAGGAGGUGGCAACAAUCACACAAAUGCGAAGCGCGUACACACCCACAAAGAUGUGGCGUCUCCGAGACACACCUGCUCAGUGAACACACAUACAAAAUAGAAACCGAAACUUUGGUACAUACUAAGAAACAGAUCAUGCAUAAAGCGAUUAUGACGAUGGUGCUGACUGAAAAAAGGAAAGAGAAAAGAAGUGCCGUCAGCCAAAGAAGAGUGGGCAUGGCUUCCAAGACUGGAGGAUGGCGCGUGCUCUUUACACUAGGUCUGCUCGAUUUGCCUGCACCACUCUGAACCAGUUCACGGCGGUUCAUGAGAAGCUCAGAAAUUGUGCAGCUUGAUUCCUGAGGUGUACGCCCAGCGAGACACUCAACAUGAAUGCAAAGGUGCAGACACGGUGCAGGCGUUAUGUCAGACUAAUGUGCACGCAGAGGUCCUGAACUGCAGGUAUGAUUGGGCGUAAAUACACACCACAUCUGCGUAGACACAUCAGACGUGCAUAAGCGGGGUUUUAAAGCCAGGGACACAUGGAGCGGAAAACCGGCAUCCAGGCGACAAAAUACGCCCGGCAGCGAACACUGGCCCCUUGACGUCCAAAAAUUUGACUCCCGCUGGCUACCCUGACCAAUCGGAAAAUCGCCGUCGGAAGUGGCAAAAGCGGCUUGCGCGCUCGCCAGGCGUCGCGACGAUUGAUCUCCCUACAACUUCCGGCAGCUGGUUGGUUUUUGUGUAUUUUUGCUUUUCCACCGGAGCGUCCAUCGCGCGGCCGCGCUGAAGCGAUGGAAUGCGGGUGUUUGGGCUAGUUUGGCGGCACACCUUCUGCCUCUCUGCACAUGAAAGGGGUCAUUACAGCUGUAUACUGAAUGGUUAAAAGUACAAAUUUGUGUAAACUUACUUUUUGUCCACAAACUUAAAUGAGGUGUUCACGAAACAGAUAAUAAUUAUAAGUGCGGUGCAGCUUUCUUACCAAUUCGAUCGAAGGUUCCAUGGCACAAAAUAGUGAGUGCACUGUACUGCUUUUCUUAUUAUUUUCUCUUUUGUGUGUGUGGUGCUGCCCAUAUGGGUUCGGGUAUAGGGGACGAAACGGUUGCUCGCUCGCGGCACCCGAAGCUGGUUUUUUUUUUUUUUUUCCCCCCUUGCUGUAGGCACGCGUGCUCGCAAAGCUUGGUUUUGUGCUUCUUCGGUCAGAAACCACCCCCGCUCAACAAAAGUCCCUUCUGGUCGAGUGCCUUGAGGGAAAACAGCGACGACAGAUUACAGUUAGAAACCGACCAUGCCUGGUUCUGUGGCUGUUUGCAUCUGUGUGGGCCUAGGAGAUGCACGGAAUGCCUAGGGCAUUGGGAACGAGAGCCGCUGACAGGCCCAUUUCAUGUCAAAUACCGAUACUUCUAUCCUCUCUGGCUGCAGUAGUAAACGCUUGUUGUUGGAGGAGGCUUUAAAACAGGAACAGAAACUGAAGUAAACAUGAAUAACCGCAACGUGCUUUUACACAAAGUAAACUAAAGUGACAGGUGGAAAACCACAAAACUUUCUGCAACGCCCGCGCUCCGCGGUGUCACCGCUUAACAUAGCCAGAAGGCUCAAAGCCAGCUCGCUAAAACGCUUACAGCUCAAUGAAAUAUGCAGAAAUCGUUUGUAAGCACCUCUAUGAAACUUUUUUUUCCAACUUGUUUAGUCAUUAACAACAAAUAAUACAAUAAAAAGCCUAUUUAGUAUUUUUUUAGGGCCUAGCACAUUCUUAGGGCCUGGCAACACUGACAAAUACGCGGUGAGCCCGCUGCGGCGUCCGCCUGUUUAUCGCUGAAUGUAAGCAAUGCCAGUGAACCAUCGGCGGUGUCCUGCCGCAGCUAUUUGUGCCGAGCGAUGUUCGCCGCGAAAGUUCACUCCAGGCUUAACUGCGCUCGUGCCCAUGUGCUGCACCUGCUGCGCCGCUUCUUCCCACUUGUACGCCAGCACGAAGUUGGCACCGACAGUCGAGUGGGUGCAGCAAAAUAAUGAACCAGCUCUGCACCUUUCCUGCACCUUUUGAAACAAAUGGCAGAGUGCAGCACCUCGAGAGCUGGUUCAGGUGGUGCAGGCGAAUUGAACGUACCCACUUUGAAACAAUGUACACCCCCUUUGGGUCGUAUCUUGCCACACAACAGUAAUCGUCAUCAGUCUUGCUUGCGUUUCCUUGCUUGAAAACGCUGCGCUCACUACUUUCCUGUCGAGAAUGCUCUGUCAUGCUGAUAACGCACAUGCCGUUCGUGGCUUGAAAGUACCGGGCUCGUGGAGUUAAAGAAAGGAAAUGCGGACAAGACAAAUGACGAUAAUUGUUGUGUUGCAAGAUAUGACCCAAAGGGUGUAAACUUGUUUAAAAGUGUAUUGAAUAGUGUGCGCCUCCCAAUCUAGGAAGCCAUAGAGCGGGCCUCUGGAAGUCAAGCCAGCAAAAAAUCCAACAUGGCAGCCUCCAAGAAUGCGUAUCGUGGCUCGGAACGUGAGACUUAGUCCAGUAAAUCGAACUUUGGGGCCUCAAUUCAUCUGAAAAAUUGGUCCCGACUAUACAUUAGCUCAAUGGGAACCCCGACGGUGCAAUUAUGAAGUCCUGAAUAUCCACCAAGACAAAUUUUUUGGAGUGAAGCGCCCUCUUUAGUGGCGGUUAUCAAUUCCGUGAACGUCGUCUGCAGCUUUGUUGAGUGACCGGCGGUGAUUUUUUCCUAUGCCACGUGUUCCGAGACAUCUGGAGAACAUCGCACUUGGGCGAACUACUGCACCAAGCAAUCCCGCUUCAGUGAUUAUUUCAACUAAUUGUUCUCGGACAUAGAAAAUAAAGGCGAUUCCUUUUUUGUGGCAAGUUCUUGUUUUCUUUUUUUCCCUUCAUUUUGGUUACUUAGAAAAUAUGCUUAACUCAAAGAAUUUUCAUGGUCCGGCAGCCUUCCAAUUAUCGAGGUUCUACUGUAUUAGGCACAGGAAUGAAAUGGGCAAAUUUAUAGCAUUUCAUGAAUCGCUUCACAAAAGCUUCAUUUCACAUGUGCGUUGGAUCUGCUUAACCUAUGAAUUUUGGCUAAUACUUCUUUCUUAAAUAAUCAUAUAGCAAACUUUAUGGUCAGCUUUGAUUCAGGGACUAAAGAAAUAUGCCAACAUUUAAUUUAAAUUCAUAAAUAUGGCGCACAGCUAGUGCCAUCUAAAAAAAAUCUGUUUCACAGCCACAAGCCGUGCCAGUAGCCAAAUGAAUUACGAGUGAUGUCGCAAUUUUGACCUGUGUCGUAUCAGCGUGCGGCAUGGCGUUAACGUAUUGGCACCAAACAGCCGAUGCUGUAGUGCCACUUUCAACUUUCAAACGAGAAGUUAUGCUAGCCGCAGAGGCAUCGUCAAACGUUCAAGCCGGGCGGAACUUCAGCAUCAAUGCGAAAAAGAAAAGUUAGUUUCGCUCGAAAGGCAAAGCAUCGAUUGCAGUAGCAAAUUAGUGGACAGCUAGCUGUACAAAGUAAGGACAGUAGUUUUAUUGGCCAUAUAAACUUGUAAACAUAGGCACACUACCUAAAUCAACAAGCAUGGUGUCACACACGCACAAGCAAACUUAUCUGACUUGAUGAGCGUGGAAACUCUGUCAAAACGCCAGAGUGAGGAAGCAGCAGCGAGCGAAUUUACCUUCGUGCUGCAUCUCGCAUUAACGCUAACUAAGCCAAGAAAACAUAGCGCAGCUGUGUUUUCUCUUUCAAAAUACAGCGGCAUGGCUGGGCAUGCGCGGCUGCCCAGAGAAGAACGCGCACCCACUCCCUACCCUCUCCCUGGAUCCUGGCAUGCACUGGAGGGUGGCGCACUUCCUCCCCGCUUCGAGCUCGGCACGUUCAUAUUCAAUAAAUGUUGUUUUCAUUUUGUCAACGCUGUCCUCACUUUUUUGUUCGGCCUACAUUCGAGGUAAUUUAUAUAUUUUUUUUCUGGCUUCAGACUGUUGGGGGUCUGCUUAGAAUUGGGGCCAGCCUAGAUUUGCGUAAGUAUGGUAUUUUCUUGCGACCUUGAAUCAUUCGCUUUUCUGGUUAAUACUUUUUGUUAGUGUUUUCCUUUCUCCAAUAUGUAUGAACGAGGUUCUACUGUAUUCGAACACCUUUAAAAAAAUUUUUACGCAGGCAUCAGCAAGAAUUUUAUUUGAAGAGGUCAUACAAAUCAUUACUAAUGCCUAAAAUUAUCAAUCCAAGCGGUGGGAAACUUGGUGAGGUUAUGCAGCAAAACUUCUGGUACCCUAAAAUACCAGUUUCAAAAAGCAAAAAAGAAAGAAAAA